UACGUAGGAGGCGAGCGUUGUCCGGAUUCAUUGGGCGUAAAGAGCACGCAGGCGGUUUGGCAAGUCGGAUGUGAAAACCCGGAGCUCAACUCCGGACCUGCAUCCGAAACUGCCCGACUAGAGGUAGGUAGGGGAGAUCGGAAUUCCUGGUGUAGCGGUGAAAUGCGCAGAUAUCAGGAGGAACACCGGUGGCGAAGGCGGAUCUCUGGGCCUUACCUGACGCUCAGGUGCGAAAGCUAGGGGAGCGAACAGG
rnacentral:rRNA from 1 species